rnacentral:rRNA from 1 species
UACGGAGGGUGCAAGCGUUAUCCGGAUUCACUGGGUUUAAAGGGUGCGUAGGUGGGCAGGUAAGUCCGUGGUGAAAUCUCUGAGCUUAACUCAGAAACUGCCGUGGAUACUAUUUGUCUUGAAUGUUGUGGAGGUGAGCGGAAUAUGUCAUGUAGCGGUGAAAUGCUUAGAUAUGACAUAGAACACCAAUUGCGAAGGCAGCUCACUACACAAUUAUUGACGCUGAGGCACGAAAGUGUGGGGAUCAAACAGG